rnacentral:rRNA from 1 species
AUUGAACGCUGGCGGCAGGCCUAACACAUGCAAGUCGAGCGGAUGAAGGGAGCUUGCUCCUGGAUUCAGCGGCGGACGGGUGAGUAAUGCCUAGGAAUCUGCCUGGUAGUGGGGGAUAACGUCCGGAAACGGGCGCUAAUACCGCAUACGUCCUGAGGGAGAAAGUGGGGGAUCUUCGGACCUCACGCUAUCAGAUGAGCCUAGGUCGGAUUAGCUAGUUGGUGGGGUAAAGGCCUACCAAGGCGACGAUCCGUAACUGGUCUGAGAGGAUGAUCAGUCACACUGGAUGUGAGACACGGUCCAGACUCCUACGGGAGGCAGCAGUGGGGAAUAUUGGACAAUGGGCGAAAGCCUGAUCCAGCCAUGCCGCGUGUGUGAAGAAGGUCUUCGGAUUGUAAAGCACUUUAAGUUGGGAGGAAGGGCAGUAAGUUAAUACCUUGCUGUUUUGACGUUACCAACAGAAUAAGCACCGGCUAACUUCGUG